rnacentral:rRNA from 1 species
CCUACGGGGGGCAGCAGUGAGGAAUAUUGGUCAAUGGGCGCGAGCCUGAACCAGCCAAGUAGCGUGAAGGAUGACUGCCCUACGGGUUGUAAACGUCUUUUAUAAAGGAAUAAAGUGAGGCACGUGUGCCUUUUUGUAUGUACUUUAUGAGUAAGGAUCGGCUAACUCCGUGCCAGCAGCCGCUGUAAUACGGAGGAUCCGAGCGUUAUCCGGAUUUAUUGGGUUUAAAGGGAGCGUAGAUGGGGUGUUAAGUAAGUUGUGAAAGUUUGCGGCUCAACCGUAAAAUUGCAAUGCUACUGGCAGCCUUGAGUACAUUUGAGGUAGGCGGAAUUCGUGGUGUAGCGGUGAAAUGCUUAGAUAUCACGAAGAACUCCGAUUGCGAAGGCAGCUUACUAAACUGCCACUGACAUUGAUGCUCGAAAGUGUGGGUAUCAAACAGGAUUAGAUACCCCGGUAGUC